AUUGAACGCUGGCGGCAGGCUUAACACAUGCAAGUCGAGCGGAGUGAUGGUGCUUGCACUAUCACUUAGCGGCGGACGGGUGAGUAAUGCUUAGGAAUCUGCCAUUUAGUGGGGGACAACAUUCCGAAAGGAAUGCUAAUACCGCAUACGUCCUACGGGAGAAAGCAGGGGAUCUUCGGACCUUGCGCUAAAUGAUGAGCCUAAGUCGGAUUAGCUAGUUGGUGGGGUAAAGGCCUACCAAGGCGACGAUCUGUAGCGGGUCUGAGAGGAUGAUCCGCCACACUGGGACUGGAACACGGCCCAGACUCCUACGGGAGGCAGCAGUGGGGAAUAUUGGACAAUGGGCGGAAGCCUGAUCCAGCCAUGCCGCGUGUGUGAAGAAGGCCUUUUGGUUGUAAAGCACUUUAAGCGAGGAGGAGGCUCUCCUAGUUAAUACCUAGGAAGAGUGGACGUUACUCGCAGAAUAAGCACCGGCUAACUCUGUGCCAGCAGCCGCCGUAACAC
rnacentral:rRNA from 1 species